rnacentral:rRNA from 1 species
AGAGUUUGAUCCUGGCUCAGGAUGAACGCUGGCGGCGUGCUUAACACAUGCAAGUCGAACGGGAAUUACUUUAUUGAAACUUCGGUCGAUUUAAUUUAAUUCUAGUGGCGGACGGGUGAGUAACGCGUGGGUAACCUGCCUUGUACAGGGGGAUAACAGUUGGAAACGGCUGCUAAUACCGCAUAAGCGCACGGCAUCGCAUGAUGCAGUGUGAAAAACUCCGGUGGUAUAAGAUGGACCCGCGUUGGAUUAGCUAGUUGGUGAGGUAACGGCCCACCAAGGCGACGAUCCAUAGCCGACCUGAGAGGGUGACCGGCCACAUUGGGACUGAGACACGGCCCAAACUCCUACGGGAGGCAGCAGUGGGGAAUAUUGCACAAUGGGCGAAAGCCUGAUGCAGCGACGCCGCGUGAGCGAAGAAGUAUUUCGGUAUGUAAAGCUCUAUCAGCAGGGAAGAUAAUGACGGUACCUGACUAAGAAGCACCGGCUAAAUACGUGCCAGCAGCCGCGGUAAUACGUAUGGUGCAAGCGUUAUCCGGAUUUACUGGGUGUAAAGGGAGCGCAGGCGGUGCGGCAAGUCUGAUGUGAAAGCCCGGGGCUCAACCCCGGUACUGCAUUGGAAACUGUCGUACUAGAGUGUCGGAGGGGUAAGCGGAAUUCCUAGUGUAGCGGUGAAAUGCGUAGAUAUUAGGAGGAACACCAGUGGCGAAGGCGGCUUACUGGACGAUAACUGACGCUGAGGCUCGAAAGCGUGGGGAGCAAACAGGAUUAGAUACCCUGGUAGUCCACGCCGUAAACGAUG